rnacentral:lncRNA from 1 species
AGGCCCAAAGAGGUUUGUUGGAAGGGUGACUAAGGGUUGUGGCUGAAGUAUUAUUUGGUGAGGGUUUAGGUCUUAUUGAGAGGUUGAGGUUGUGGCUUGGUAUGGAGGGCUAGUUGUUUGAAUAAAUGGGUCAACAUCUUCGAAGGUAGGGGUAGAGGUUCAUGGAGGUGGAGAGGGAGAAGCUUCUUCUAUAGAGGAUACUUCUGGAAUGGUAGGUAGAUUAAGGGGUGGAAGACAAACUUCUUUGGAUAAUUCUUCGUCUAGAGCAGUCAUCACAAAGGUUGUAAAUAAGUGUACUGCAACAUGACACAUAACUUUCUAAAGAAUCAUUGUUGUUGAAAAGCAUUGGUUGAGGAAAAUAUGUCCCUUUAGGCAGUGCUCUAAAAAGAUGUCGUCCAAUGGCAUUGUGAUAUGCC